CCCGGCGCGUCCGGACGCUCUAGCCCGCGGGGACGCCGCGCCGGAAGUCUCCGCUGCUCCUCGCGGGGCGGGCCGGCCUGGGGGCGCGCGUACCCGCACUUCCGCCCCCGGAAGGAAGGCAGGCGCGCGCUUCCUGCGGCGCGCGGUUGCGGCCCGGAAAGGUGGAUACUUUGGCAGUUACUCUGGUAUGCUGUGAAUAUUGCUGCUUUUGACAGGACAAAUAUGAUGGAUUUGUGGUGACAGUUGUAAGCUUACAGCCAUCAAGUUGCUGGCAAACAAGUUGGAAUUUGAAUUACCUGUGAAAUCUUUCAUGGAGAUGACUGUAUAUGGGAAAAGGAAAUUCUAGGACAGACUUUGAGCUAGAGCUGAUGUAAUGCAUCCCAGGGAAGCAGUGCUUGGAACUCAGGUAGCUGUAAGCAGGUAAGUUAAUAGCAGAGUAAACUUGCCAGAAACAAGCAUGUAUAAAAGAAUAAAAGAAAUGGAAACAGUAAGACCA
rnacentral:lncRNA from 1 species